GGUUGUGUAGUGUAGUGGUCAUCACUUCAGAUUUUGAGCAAGAAGUUCGCUCACAUCUUCUGAUAACCCCGGUUCGAACCCGGGCACGACCU
rnacentral:tRNA from 1 species